AAAUACACUUUCUUCUCUUUCAAGCCAAAACCCCCUUUUCUUCUUUAAGAUUCCUUGAUUUAGAGCCAAAAUCAAUAGUAGAUUCAUGUUACAAUCAUAAAUUCGAGUUAGGUUUAUUUACCUCAAUGAAGUAGAUGAAAACUUUCUCACAAAUCGCCUCUUCCCGAGCUCCAAAACUUUGUGAAAAAAAUUGACUAAAUCUAGAAAUAAGUAAAACAAACAAUGCAGCAGCUUUCCCUGCCCGAAUCAGAUACUAGAUGAUCCCGAAACUCACAUUCGAUAAGCCCAACAUAAUCCUUGCGAGAUUACACCCGAGAUAGACUUUUGAAUCGCCCAAUUUGGCCUUAAAAUAAGGGAGAUGAUGUUUUGAAGUAAUAAAGGAAGUCUGAAAAUUUCAGAGGUAUAACUGGUAUUUUUGGAAUUGUUGCACCACAAAAAUCAGCAAUCGCAAAAUCUUCAUUUUAGCACCCAAAACUUAUUCAGAACCUCCCGAACAUAAAUCAUAUAUGCAUUUCAAUCAUAAAACACGCUACAAGCAUGCUCGCGCACUCAAAACCACGAAAAGAGGUCGUUUUGACCUGAUAUUGACCGUGGUCCAACUCCAAAUCCUUAACUUGACUAGUCUCUCAACCAAUGAUCCAAAACAUAAACGAGCCCCUACGGGACCCAUCCAAUUAUACCAACAAGUACAAAUACAUUAUCCAAACUUAUCCUAAGGUUAGAAUUUCUCUUAAGUUGUUAAAUCUUCAUUCAUUCAAAAGAGUGUUUGUAUAACACCUACAGACUUUAGAUUACUUCCAAACUUUGCACGCAAGUUCAAUUCAACUGUAUUGACCUAUCCAAAGUCUCGGAACAUCAAUUGGAGUCCAAUAACAUCAAGUCAACAUUUGGUCAAACUUAUGAACUCUUAAGUUCUUCAAAUUGCCAACUUUCGACAAAUCGUGUUGAAUUCUUCCAAGAACCUCCAAAACCAAAUCUUAACAUACGGACAAGUCCAAAAUCAUAAUACAAACUUAUCGGAACCAUCAAAACCCGAUUUCUUAGUCCGUUUACCCAACAGUCAAGCGUUGGUCAAUCUUCCAACUUAAAGCUUCUAAAUCGAGUAUCAUUCUUCCAAAUCAAUUCCAAACCACUCGAAAACCAAACUGACCAUACACGCAAGUCAUAAUACAUUAUAUGAAGCUACUCAAAGUCUCAAACCAUCUGUGAGAAAGCACGGGAGAAAAAUAUAUAAUUGAUAUUAAACAUGGUACAAUGAGCCCUAUA
rnacentral:lncRNA from 1 species